AUUUAGGUACGGAGGGAGUAUUAGUUUACAGAGGGAGUACUAGUUACUUGUUACCCCGGUUAACAGCUCCCAUGGCCGCCGUGACCUCCUCCUCUCCCUCGUGCCCCAAGCCCAAGGCCGCCAAGCCGGCCAGGUACUGCCUGUGCGCGCCGACGACGCACCCGGGCUCGUUCCGGUGCAGGCUGCACCGCCUGACGGCGGCCCGGGCCAAGGCGGCGGCGCCUUCUUCGGAGCCAGAGACGGCCAAGGAAUCCGCAGCGGCGGCCGAGAGGAAGGAGGCGACAGCGGCGGCCGCCGCACGCGCAUUGCUCGCACGGGUGCGGGUGGCGCGGACGCCCGGGCGGGAUGCUGGGAGGAGGAUCAGGGAGUUUCAGCCUGGGCCUUCCAGGCUACGGAUCAUGGACAGCGGGUGACUAGUCUCCGUCCGUCGCAUGAUCAGGUGAUAUGCGAUAUUUAUUUUGAAAUCGGAUCGUGGUGUACAUGUAAAAGGAUUGGAAACUUUGGAGCGCCUAUUGAAGUUCGGAAUAGCCAUAUCUGUGGUUUAUGUUUUUUCCUUCCAUUCACAAAUGCAAAAUGUCUG
rnacentral:lncRNA from 1 species